UACGAAGGGGGCUAGCGUUGUUCGGAAUUACUGGGCGUAAAGCGCACGUAGUCGGAUUAGUAAGUCAGGGGUUAAAUCCUGAGGCUCAACCUCGGAACUUCCUUUGAUACUGCUGAUCUCGAGUCCGGAAGAGGUGAGUGGAAUUCCUAGUGUAGAGGUGAAAUUCGUAGUUAUUAGGAAGAACACCAGUGGCGAAGGAGGCUCACUGGUCCGGUACUGACGCUGAGGUGCGAAAGCGUGUGGAGCAAACAGG
rnacentral:rRNA from 1 species